rnacentral:rRNA from 1 species
UACGAAGGGGGCUAGCGUUGUUCGGAAUUACUGGGCGUAAAGCGCACGUAGGCGGAUAUUUAAGUCAGGGGUGAAAUCCCGGGGUUCAACCUCGGAACUGCCUUUGAUACUGGGUAUCUUGAGUGUGGAAGAGGUCGGUGGAAUUGCGAGUGUAGAGGUGAAAUUCGUAGAUAUUCGCAGGAACACCAGUGGCGAAGGCGGCCGACUGGUCCAUUACUGACGCUGAGGUGCGAAAGCGUGGGGAGCAAACAGG